CGAUGCACUCCAAAAAAAGUUGACGACAUCGUAAAGAUACCUGGAAUGGAUGCUGAUGGUAACGCAACAGACCGAAAAAAUAUCCGACUGUAUUGACGAUAUGGCGGCCUACUCAAAGCUGAAUGACAGCAUCCUUCAGUUCGUGGAGCUUCCGAUAACACUGGGGAACAUGUUCCAGGACGCUGAAGAAACACCAGGACUGGAAACAGCAAGAGGCAUACUGAAAAGACUCCGGUCAAGAGACUUGUACAAGUGUGUUGGCAAACACAUUUUAUCACCUGAU